UGGCACAGUGGUUAAGUGCUUGGCUGCUAACUAAGAGGCUGGUGGUUCAAACCCACC
rnacentral:tRNA from 1 species